rnacentral:rRNA from 1 species
UACGUAGGGUGCGAGCGUUGUCCGGAAUUAUUGGGCGUAAAGAGCUCGUAGGCGGUCCGUCACGUCGGCUGUGAAAACCCGGGGCUCAACCCCGGGCCUGCAGUCGAUACGGGCGGACUAGAGUUCGGCAGGGGAGACUGGAAUUCCUGGUGUAGCGGUGAAAUGCGCAGAUAUCAGGAGGAACACCGGUGGCGAAGGCGGGUCUCUGGGCCGAUACUGACGCUGAGGAGCGAAAGCGUGGGGAGCGAACAGG